AUGAACGCUAGCGACAGGCCUAACACAUGCAAGUCGAGGGCGGCACAAGGAGCAAUCUGAGGUGGCGACCGGCGCACGGGUGAGUAACACGUAUGCAACCUGCCUGUAAGCGGGGAAUAACCCGUUGAAAGACGGACUAAUACCGCAUAAUACUAAAUUACUGCAUGGUAAUUUAUUUAAACAUUUAUGGCUUACAGAUGGGCAUGCGCAUGAUUAGCUAGUUGGAGAGGUAACGGCUCCCCAAGGCAACGAUCAUUAGGGGUUCUGAGAGGAAGGUCCCCCACACUGGUACUGAGACACGGACCAGACUCCUACGGGAGGCAGCAGUGAGGAAUAUUGGUCAAUGGACGAGAGUCUGAACCAGCCAAGUCGCGUGCAGGAAGAAUGUCCCUAUGGAUUGUAAACUGCUUUUGCAGGGGAAUAAAGUGCAUCACGUGUGAUGUUUUGUAUGUACUCUGCGAAUAAGGAUCGGCUAACUCCGUGCCAGCCGCAGC
rnacentral:rRNA from 1 species